rnacentral:rRNA from 1 species
AAACCGCUUAGGGGUUAAGCCCGAUGAACCUGAAUAUCCGAUGUGGGAAAUUCAAUACGGUGUCGGCGGUUGCAAAACCGUUGUGCAUCGUAUGCACUUUUCCCAUAGUAGGACAUUGUAAUCCAUUAAUGCUAUAUCCCUUCACCGGGAUGAUUUAACAUACGGACAAAUCGUAUUGGCUUAUUCUAUUCGUGGCAUGUAAACACGCCAUAUGAAUAAAAUUCGUUUUGUACCUGUUUAAAUAGUUGAUGGAUUUGAUGACGAUCAUGCGUGCACUCGUUGCGUUUCGUGCAGCCGGUUUCUAAUCGGCGGCAGCAGAAAUGGCAUGUAUCCGAUUAACAAUGCGAUAGAUUUGGGAUGCCUUCGGGACCCGUCUUGAAACACGGACCAAGGAGUCUAACAUAUGUGCAAGUCAUUGGGUAUUUCGUUGAAACCUAUUGGCGUAAUUAAAAUGACUAUAUUUUAAUUUGGGAUCACAAGUGGUGUUCAAUUAUGCGCCGCUUUUUAAUCCCGGGGCGUUCUAUACGAACAUGGCG